rnacentral:rRNA from 1 species
GACGAACGCUGGCGGCGUGCUUAACACAUGCAAGUCGAGCGGUAAGGCCCUUUCGGGGUACGACGAGCGGCGAACGGGUGAGUAACACGUGGGUGACCUGCCCUCAGUUCUGGGAGUAAGCCUGGGAAACCGGGUCGUAAUAACUGGAUAUGACCGUCAUGACGCAUGUUGUGGGGUGGAAAGCCUUGUGCGACUGAGGAUGGGCCCGCGGCCUAUCAGCUUGUUGGUGGGGUGAUGGCCUACCAAGGCGACGACGGGUAGCCGGCCUGAGAGGGCGACCGGCCACA